rnacentral:rRNA from 1 species
UACGUAGGGGGCAAGCGUUGUCCGGAUUUAUUGGGCGUAAAGAGCGUGUAGGCGGCCAGACAGGCCUCGUUGUGAAAACUGGAGGCUUAACCUUCAGACGUCGAUGGAAACCGUCUGGCUAGAGUCCGGAAGAGGAGAGUGGAAUUCCUGGUGUAGCGGUGAAAUGCGCAGAUAUCAGGAAGAACACCCGUGGCUAAGGCGGCUCUCUAGUACGGUACUGACGCUGAGACGCGAAAGCGUGGGGAGCGAACAGG